rnacentral:rRNA from 1 species
UACAGAGGGUGCGAGCGUUAAUCGGAUUUUACUGGGCGUAAAGGGCGCGUAGGCGGAUGGCACAGAUCAGGAUGUGAAAUUCCCCGGGCUUAACCUGGGGGCUGCAUUUGAUACGUGUGAUCUAGAGUGAGGAAGAGGGUCGUGGAAUUCCCAGUGUAGAGGUGAAAUUCGGUAGGAUAUUGGGAAGAACACCGGUGGGCGAAGGCGGCGAGCCUGGUCCCUUGACUGACGCUGAGGCGCGAAAGGCGUGGGGAGCAAAGCAGG